rnacentral:rRNA from 1 species
UACGUAGGAUGCGAGCGUUAAUCGGAAUUACUGGGCGUAAAGCGUGCGCAGGCGGUUUUGUAAGCCAGAUGUGAAAUCCCCAGGCUUAACCUGGGAAUGGCAUUUGGGACUGCAAGGCUUGAGUGCGGCAGAGGAGACUGGAAUUCCUGGUGUAGCAGUGAAAUGCGUAGAUAUCAGGAAGAAUACCGAUGGCGAAGGCAGGUCUCUGGGCUGACACUGACGCUCAUGCACGAAAGCGUGGGGAGCAAACAGG